rnacentral:rRNA from 1 species
UUCUGUGUGCACGAUGAAGUUUUUCGGAAUGUAAAGUGCUUUCAGUUGGGAAGAAGAAAGUGACGGUACCAACAGAAGAAGCGACGGCUAAAUACGUGCCAGCAGCCGCGGUAAUACGUAUGUCGCAAGCGUUAUCCGGAUUUAUUGGGCGUAAAGCGCGUCUAGGCGGUUUGGUAAGUCUGAUGUGAAAAUGCGGGGCUCAACUCCGUAUUGCGUUGGAAACUGCCAAACUAGAGUACUGGAGAGGUAGGCGGAACUACAAGUGUAGAGGUGAAAUUCGUAGAUAUUUGUAGGAAUGCCGAUGGGGAAGCCAGCCUACUGGACAGAUACUGACGCUAAAGCGCGAAAGCGUGGGUA